UACGAAGGGGGCUAGCGUUGCUCGGAUUGACUGGGCGUAAAGGGCGCGUAGGCGGUUCGUACAGUCAGACGUGAAAUUCCUGGGCUCAACCUGGGGGCUGCGUUUGAUACGUGCGGACUUGAGUGCGGAAGAGGGUCGUGGAAUUCCGCGUGUAGUGGUGAAAUGCGUAGAGAUGCGGAGGAACACCAGUGGCGAAAGCGACUUUCUGGUCCUUAACUGACGCUGAGGCGCGAAAGCAUGGGGAGCGAACGGG
rnacentral:rRNA from 1 species